GACGAACGCUGGCGGCGUGCUUAACACAUGCAAGUCGAGCGGUAAGGCCCUUUCGGGGGUACGACGAGCGGCGAACGGGUAGGAGUAACACGUGGGUGACCCGCCCUCAGCUCUGGGAUAAGCCUGGGAAACCGGGUCUAAUACUGGAUAUGACUCCAUGACGCAUGUUGUGGGGUGGAAAGCCUUGUGCGGCUGAGGAUGGGCCCGCGGCCUAUCAGCUUGUUGGUGGGGUGAGGCCUACCAAGGCGACGACGGGUAGCCGGCCUGAGAGGGCGACCGGCCACACUGGGACUGAGACACGGCCCAGACUCCUACGGGGAGGCAGCAGUGGGGAAUCUUGCGCAAUGGGCGAAAGCCUGACGCAGCGACGCCGCGUGAGGGAUGACGGCC
rnacentral:rRNA from 1 species